rnacentral:rRNA from 1 species
AACGAACGCUGGCGGCAGGCUUAACACAUGCAAGUCGAGCGCCCCGCAAGGGGAGCGGCAGACGGGUGAGUAACGCGUGGGAAUCUACCCAUCUCUAGGGGAUAACACAGAGAAAUUUGUGCUAAUACCCUAUACGUCCUCCGGGAGAAAGAUUUAUCGGGGAUGGAUGAGCCCGCGUUGGAUUAGCUAGUUGGUGGGGUAAUGGCCCACCAAGGCGACGAUCCAUAGCUGGUCUGAGAGGAUGACCAGCCACACUGGGACUGAGACACGGCCCAGACUCCUACGGGAGGCAGCAGUGGGGAAUAUUGGACAAUGGGCGCAAGCCUGAUCCAGCCAUGCCGCGUGAGUGAUGAAGGCCUUAGGGUUGUAAAGCUCUUUCAGUGGGGACGAUAAUGACGGUACCCACAGAAGAAGCCCCGGCUAACUUCGUGCCAGCAGCCGCGGUAAUAC